rnacentral:rRNA from 1 species
UACGGGGGGGGCAAGCGUUGUUCGGAAUUACUGGGCGUAAAGGGCUCGUAGGCGGCCAACUAAGUCAGACGUGAAAUCCCUCGGCUUAACCGGGGAACUGCGUCUGAUACUGGAUGGCUUGAGUUUGGGAGAGGGAUGCGGAAUUCCAGGUGUAGCGGUGAAAUGCGUAGAUAUCGGAAGGAACACCAGUGGCGAAAGCGACUUCCUGGUCGAAUACUGACGUUCAUGUGCGAAAGCGUGGGGAGCAAACAGG